rnacentral:tRNA from 1 species
GGGAAUAUAGCUUAGUUGGUAGAGUGCUCGUCUCUCAUGCAAAAGGCCCUGAGUUCAAUCCCCAGUGCUUGCG